AUUGAACGCUGGCGGCAGGCCUAACACAUGCAAGUCGAACGAGUGGCGGACGGGUGAGUAAUGUCUGGGAAACUGCCCGAUGGAGGGGGAUAACUCCUGGAAACGGUAGCUAAUACCGCAUACCAUCGGAUGUGCCCCGAUGGGAUUAGCUAGUAGGGGGGGGAACGGCUCACCUAGGCGACGAUCCCUAGCUGGUCUGAGAGGAGGACCAGCCACACUGGAACUGAGCACCGGUCCAGACUCCUACGGGAUGCAGCAGUGGGGAAUAUUGCACAAUGGGCGCAAGCCUUAUGCAGCCAUGCCGCGUGUAUGAAGAAGGCCUUCGGGUUGUAAAGUACUUUCAGCGAGGAGGCGUUACUCGCAGAAGAAGCACCGGCUAACUCCGUGCCAGCCGCCGCGGUAAUAC
rnacentral:rRNA from 1 species